CAGACACACACACACAAACACACAUACAAACACACACACACAGACACACACACACAAACACACACACACACACACACACACACAGAGACACACAGCCCAAAAACAAUAGAGAAAAUAAGAUAACCCAUUUACAGAAGCCUAGAAAAACUGAGACAGAUGGGUGUAAGAGUACUCUUUGAUCUCAGGACUCCACAUUGACAACCAGAGAGAAAUGUUGACGGAGAAACCACUGAAGCUGCUUUCGUGUGAAGAGGUCACUCGUGGUCUUGAGCCAUUACAAACAGUCCUGAGAAAGUGACCUAUUAUCAAAAGUGACCUACACAGUCUGUGCAAUCACUGCCAAAUUCAAUGAAGUUAUUCACAGAGCUAGAAGGAAAUCCGUAAAUUCAUCUGGGACCGCUCACAAGCCUACACAUUAAGCCCAAGCAAUCCUGAACAAAGGGGGCAAUUCUGAAGGGGUAACAACCCAGCUCCCAUAUGGUCUACUGGAGAACUGUAGACAGAGUGGUAUAGAUCAGAAAUCAGCCCACAUGGACACAGCAAUUAGAUUCCUGACACGGAGCAAAACCACUGGAGAAAGGGGCAGCCUCUCCCUCGAGCACCAGGGAGACUGGAUGUCAACAACAGAAAACAGAGAGGAGACUCCUACAUCUUCUCACAGCACACAAAUCAACUCAGAAUCAGUCAAAGACCUUCAUGUAAGACUGAAAAUUCGGAAGCCUCCAGAAGGAGCUAAAAAAAGCUAAAUAAUCUUUAUGAGCUAUAUUUUACCUUUUAAGAGAUAUUGCCUUCCAACCAGACACCAAGUAAAGCAGACUCUGCAAGCAAAGCAAACCCACACUUCAGUGCGUGACUGUCCAGGUGUUGAGCCGUGGGACCUUAGUUCCAAGAGGCCUGAUUGAUGUCACCCUGGAGACAUCUGUCUGUCAAGCUGGUAUUGCUGGAGGUGGCUCCUACCUGUCAGAGGGCAAGUCAACCUGGCUGGGUGAUUUCCAGGUGAAAAAGCUGUGAGCAUGAGGGACCAUUUCCAAUGCUGUCCUUGACACCCAGGUAAGCAGACAGCAGGGAACCUUAGCUGGAGAAUGACCUGAAGUGGGCUGCAGGCCUGCAGCAUGUUCCAGAAUGUUUCCUCACCCAGCACUAAUACCUUCCUUUCAGGGCCCAGCAUGCCUCACCUUCCCCGCUCAGUGGCCACCAGCUAAGUCCUCCUGCUCUCUAAAAAUGACCCUUCCACACCAGGACAGCAUGGUCAUUCCCCAGUACCGUCACCUCAGCCCCUCCCUGGCCUCACAUCCUUCAGCAACGUCUUGUUACUCUCAGAAUAAAAGCCAAAAUCCUGGCCAUGUUCAACAAGCUCUCACACAUCUGCUUUGGGAGUUUAUCCAGCCCCCUCUGGGGACACCCUCCCCCUCUCAGGGUCAGCGGGUCCCUU